rnacentral:misc_RNA from 1 species
UGAUGAACCAACUACUGAUGAAGUUAUUCGUGAGAAGGUCUUAAGCUUUAUCAGAGAGAAGGUUUUUCCCAUCAAAUCUGAACUCUUGAAGCCCCAAGAGGAAAUGGAAAGACACAUAACAGAUUUGAUAAAAAAGAGUUUAGAAGAUGUGACUGGAGCUGAAUUUAGAAUGUUUAUGGACUUCUUAAAAAGCUUGAGUAUAUUUGGAGAAAAAG